GGAUGGAUGAUCAGUUUCCUGUUCCUCAUUGCUCUCCUUGGGCCAUUUAGCAUUGUCAUUCUGCGAAAGGUACCUCUACUUCAGAAAUCUAGCAACAGAAGGAUGCUUGAGUUGUGUUCAAGUGUUUUGUCCAGCCUUUCCAAAAUAAUGAACUUCAGCGCAUGGUUAUACUUUAAAUUAAAUUGCUCUAUCUGUCCUCAUUUUUUAGCUUUGGUUGCUUGGUUGGUGUUUUUCUGUUUGAAAAUAAGUUCCGAGCUUGCAAUUGCAGGUGAUGGUGAUUGAUUACAAGCUUACAUUCCCUGGUGGGACUGCUACUGCCCUGAUGAUUAAUAGCUUGCAUGGGAAAGCAGAAGGUGAUCUUGCAGGGUAAGGCAAAAGGUACUCAGCAUGCCUUUACGGUUCAUGAUUGCAAGUAUUUUCUCACUGUUUCAGGCACAAGAACUCUUUUUCCUAGAGUAUGUAUCUUGAUGAGUAAAAAUGUGAUUUUACAAAGUAUGUAAACCAGUUAAUUAGACAAUUCAUAUGCAUGAAAAAUGACACAUACAAUCCAUAUGGCUGAGAAAGUAUAUUUUCUAAAUGGGACUAUUAUAAAGUAGAAAAUUCUUGAAUGGAUCAAAUACUACCUUUAUGCACACUGUUAAAUACGUUUGGAACAUUUGCACUCUGACGUCAGCAGCAAAAGAACCGAUGUGCAGAUGGUGUCAUUAAUUUUGUACUCUAACAAAUGUUGUCUCAUGUCUUUAUAUAACUGUAGGCAGGUCUUGUUUCAAAGUUUGUCCCCUUUUCACUUGCUUGUGUUAUUCUAUUAUUUUGCAGGAAAAAGGUAAAUUGUCUUGUAAAGUACAUGAGCAUUAGUUUUGGCUGGAGCUUCUUUAAGUGGUUCUUUAGUGGUGUUGGUGACUCUUGUGGUUUUGACAAUUUCCCGACAUUUGGGCUUUUAGCUUUUCAGAAUACGUAAGUUCUCAUUAUUCCAGUUUUUCCCCCUCUCAAUUUUUAUCACAUGGUUAUCAAUGUGAUUGUUCAUACCAAUCUGGCUUAUUUCCUCAAAUAAAUACUGGUUAAUUGUGGUAACCUACAAAUUAUGUUGGUCUGAUUUGUUUAUUGUGGAUAGAUCUUUUAUUCAGCAUUUUCUUUUAUCUAAAUGAACACUGUCAUUUAGUCUAGGCUGCUUCACUGCCUAUAUUUUUCUCCAAAAAAAAUGUACACUUAUCAGGAAAUAUUCUCAAUUAAUUUGACUCACCACAGAUAUGCCGAAGUCCACUAAUUAUUUCUGACAAUUAAAAUUCAAGUUCUGUAGUGUCGAUUCUGCAUUGCUUGAUCUUCCAUCCUACUCUGCCACUGUUCAAAAAAAAACAAAUGAAGUUGUAGUGUUAAUGACUGAUGUGUGACAUGCUAUGGUUGCAAUGUGUAUUCAGUUACCUAUUCAAACUUGAAAAUAAAGUAUUCUUAUACAUGUGAGGAGGUCAAGAAAACCUCAUUUUCUGAACUUUUCCUUUUGUACUGUGGCAGAUUUUAUUUCAACUUCAGUCCUAGUUAUGUUGGGUUUGGUCUUAUUUCCCCCCAUAUUGUGAACUGCUCGGUUUUCCUUGGGUCAGUCAUAUCUUGGUGUUUUCUUUGGCCAUUUAUCAGUGCAAAGGCUGGUCAUUGGUACCCAGAUAACCUUGGUAACAGUGACUUCAGAGGCCUGUAUGGUUAUAAGGUAUACUCCUAUUUUCUUUUUUUCAUAAGUGGUGUUUCUGUUUUGUUGUAAAUAAGCUAACUGAAUCUGCAGCUUUAUGUUAAAUUGAACCUUUUUUGCAUAAGAUUCUCUCAACAAGCUGCUAUUCUUCUGUUAGUAGUUUAUAUGAUUAAUGUGCACAGGUCUCUGCAAGUGAUUUUUUUUUUGUCAUGCCGCCAUGCUUGAUUUCUUCAUAUCAUGUUUAUACCUGCAGGUUUUCAUAGCCAUUUCUAUCAUACUUGGAGAUGGUCUCUAUAACUUGGUUAAGAUAUUUGUCAUUAUUGCUAAGGAAUUCUGUAAUGUACGAUCCAAACAGCAUGAUCUUCCUGUUGAAGCUCUGGAAGGUAACAUCUUACUUCUUAGCUGACAUGCAAUGUUUUCACCGCAUGCUGUGAGAUGAAUUUGGGCCAUUUCCUAUUACGUUUUACAAAAAGAUUACCUCUUUGUUACUUUUAGUGCAUAUUGCUUUUAGGUCAACAUAUCAUCUUCCUGAGUUAUAUGUCCAAUGUUUGUCCCAUGGUUAUUUAUUUAUUUAUUUAUUUUUGCAGAUGAUGAGAACUCUGAACAGUUAGUGGAAGAGAAACUACAAACUGAGGUAUUCCUCAAAGAUAGUAUACCUCCUUGGUUUGCUGCUUCUGGUUACAUCGCACUGGCAGCAAUAUCCACCGCCACUGUGCCC
rnacentral:lncRNA from 1 species